GGGGGGCCCAGGAGCACCUCUGGGCACAGGCCAAGAUUGUCGAUCACCGGAGGCCGGACCUGCUGGAGGGCUCCCACUUGAUUCCUAGGUCGCCAGUGGACCCGAGGACUGUGACAGUGGCGCUGCGUUCCACGGGCAUCCCCUCGGAAGGUGUGGAGAUGAGCAUGGAGAGGGAGAGGGAGGGGCUCACCACGCCUCAGAAAGUGUGGGCUGAGAUGGGCGAUUGGCCUGGAGAAUACAGGGCGGCGGUGUGUUUCCACAGGGGCCCAGUCACGGGCAGGAUCCGCCGCCACCUGCCCAAGGACUUCUUCCUGGGCUUAGAGAGGGUGACCGGAGGUGCCGAGAGUGUGAGGGGGUGCAGGAGGCAGGAGUACCAGAGGCAGCCAACUGGUGCGUCUGGACAGGGGCGGAGGGGAGGCAUCACCAUUCCUGCUGGCCCCCCCCACCACAGGAGUGCAUGGAGGAGAAGGGGCCACAGGAGCGGCAGCGGGGGGGGGAGAAGGAGUUUGGACAGUGGCCAGAAGAGAGGAGCUCAGUGCUCAAAGAUGCGUGGGGCCACCCCCUCCUCGGACCGAGCGAGGGCAUCCGAUGCAGACAUGGCCGUGGCAGCAGAUGACGUGGAAGUAGCAGAGGAGGUGAGCAUGUUGGCAGACAGGGAGGACAUUGAGGUCCCCAGAGGAGAAAGGAACCCCUGUGCUUUGCUGGCUCAUGGGAGUGAUGCGCGGAUGGAGAGGCACAGCGCUCUCCUUUGGACUUGGACCUUUGGCCGGAGGGCUGCUUCUCCUCCUCCUCCCUGCUUGAGUCAUCCACGGGGGAGUGGGGGAGGAGGAGGAGGAGGAGGACAGGAGUUCAGAGGGCUCGGCGACCACCUACACGAACACUGAUGACAGUCAGACGGUUGUAUGCAGGAGGGCGCGGCGGCGCUAUAGGCACCAAGGGCGAGUGGAUUGGUGCCGGAGGCGGGCGGGGAGGCCCCUCAUGACUGAGCAACCCGAACGGCUCUGCUGGGAGCUGGGCUUCUGGAAAGACAAGCUGGAGGAGUGGAAAAGCAAGCAGAAGGCAUUGGUGCCAGAGCCAGCUAGCCCUCAGCACCGGCGCGAGGAAUGUGUUACUCUCCUGGAGAACAAAGCCGACCCACAAGAAGUGAGGCAUCUCAGGCAGCAGAAUUCUCUCUGCCCUGCCUUUGCCUUCACAGUAGUUGAACCUUCAGAUUCCAGAACCCAGACGGAAGAUUUGAAGAAAUGAAGUGAUUUUUUUUCACCCCUGCAAGUGGCAAGGUGUUCCAAAGUACCGGGUUGCAAUUCACCUUGGAAAUUUCCCAGCUAAAGGGGAUUAGUCUGGGGCAAUAGAUGGCUGACUCCCCCCCCCCUUUUGGUGGGGAAUCCUGGGGUUUCCAUGGCUACUACUUUUGUUCUUAAUCCAGCUACUUUACUUCCUUUUGAGCUUACAGAAGACCAAGAACAUGAUUGCUUGCAAGCUGUGGACUGCAUCUAUGCCAAGCCAUCCUGAUCUUAAAGAUGAACCUCUCCAAAAUGCAGACUUUGAGCUGUACAUGGAUGGAGGCAGCUUCAUGUAAGAUGGACAAUGUAAGCUGGCUAUGCAGUAGUGACUGACCAUGAAGUCCUGGUGGUGGAAUCUCUUUCUCCAGGUAUCUCAGCACAGCUUGCAGAGCUCAUCACCUUCAAGGUAAUUUUUACACAACUCAUGGGGCCACUUGGAAAGAAAGAAGAUUUUAACAGUGGGAAACAAGGAAGUCAAGUAUGGGACACAGAUAUCAGAACUCUAGACUGCUGUUACACGACUAGAAGAGGUUGCAGUCAUCCAUACCAGAGGUCACCAGAGGGAAAUGACCCAGUGCCAAAGGGUAAUUGGAUGGCAGAUGCUGCAGCUAAAACCGCUGCUCCUUCUGUUCCUGUUUCCAAGCAUCUUGGAUUCCUGUGCUAACUAUCUUGGCACAACCCCCCCACAUAUUCAGAAAAAGGACAUUGACUUUGCACCACAGCAGGGGGCGCAUUUAGAAGAGGAUGGCUGGUAAAGAACUCUUUAAUGUGAUCCGGAUUGUCAAAUGACCCAGCAAUCUUGCUUUUGUGUACCUGUGAUAGACUUGUGUACUUGCUUGAUUGCAGGAUGCUAAGGGAAUAUGCUUGUAUCAGACCCGUUCAACUUCUUGCCGUAAAUAAACCUGGCCAAUGAUAGUG